rnacentral:rRNA from 1 species
GACGAACGCUGGCGGCAGGCCUAACACAUGCAAGUCGAACGCUCGUAGCAAUACGAGAGUGGCAGACGGGUGAGUAACACGUGGGAACCUUCCCUUCGGUCGGGAAUAGCUCAGGGAAACUUGAGGUAAUACCGGAUACGCCCUUACGGGGAAAGAUUUAUCGCCGAAGGAUGGGCCCGCGUCGGAUUAGCUAGUUGGUGAGGUAACGGCUCACCAAGGCGACGAUCCGUAGCUGGUCUGAGAGGAUGAUCAGCCACACUGGGACUGAGACACGGCCCAGACUCCUACGGGAGGCAGCAGUGGGGAAUAUUGGACAAUGGGCGCAAGCCUGAUCCAGCCAUGCCGCGUGAGUGACGAAGGCCUUAGGGUUGUAAAGCUCUUUUGGCGGGGAAGAUAAUGACGGUACCGCAGAAUAAGCUCCGGCUAACUUCGUGCCAGCAGCAGCCGC